ensembl:rRNA 5S_rRNA 5S ribosomal RNA
GUCUACAACCAUACCACCCUGAAAGUGUUCCAAUCCUAUCUGAUCUUGGAAGCUAAGCAAGGUCAGGCCCGGUUAGUAUUUAGAUGGGAGAGUAAUACAUACUAAGAGACUAUUUAAGUCCAUCUAUUUAAGACC